GAUCCAGCCAUGCCGCGUGUGUGAAGAAGGCCUUUUGGUUGUAAAGCACUUUAAGCGAGGAGGAGGCUACUUAGAUUAAUACUCUAGGAUAGUGGACGUUACUCGCAGAAUAAGCACCGGCUAACUCUGUGCCAGCAGCCGCGGUAAUACAGAGGGUGCGAGCGUUAAUCGGAUUUACUGGGCGUAAAGCGUGCGUAGGCGGCUUUUUAAGUCGGAUGUGAAAUCCCUGAGCUUAACUUAGGAAUUGCAUUCGAUACUGGGAAGCUAGAGUAUGGGAGAGGAUGGUAGAAUUCCAGGUGUAGCGGUGAAAUGCGUAGAGAUCUGGAGGAAUACCGAUGGCGAAGGCAGCCAUCUGGCCUAAUACUGACGCUGAGGUACGAAAGCAUGGGGAGCAAACAGGAUUAGAUACCCUGGUAGUCCAUGCCGUAAACGAUGUCUACUAGCCGUUGGGGCCUUUGAGGCUUUAGUGGCGCACGUAACGCGAUAAGUAGACCGC
rnacentral:rRNA from 1 species